CAGGAGAAAACACACGGGAUGAUUUAGUGACUCGUCAAUCACCCCAUAUGAACGUUUCAUGGUAUUUGAAAUAGCUCUAUAAACGACUGAUCUCAUACACAUAUAAAUAUAUGUCUAUGCACCACGUCCUCGACCUACGGUGUUUCCUGGUUACGUCUCCAUCUCCCAUAAAUUUAUCAAGAAAGUCUUGUUCCAUCAUUCCAACGUACGACAUUAAAACAAGUGUUUCAUGGGAACUAGUUGGCGGGUGGAGCGGACGAACACGUCGCCAUCGACACACAGUGGAUCGUGUAUUAACUAAUAUUUAUAUAUAUUAACUAGAAUUUGCCACAUAAAACCUGAACUAUUCAUCAAGGUCAUAACCUAAAACACACUAAGAUUUUAUCACGAGCUUUGCUUCAUUCUUGUGAGUCUUCCUCUGAGACCUCACCGUAACUCACCGUUACUUCAUCUUGGAACAAUAAAACUGUGAUUAGGCGACUGUUAGUCAUUGUCUGGCAAAUAAAACACGCAGAACUCCUGUAGGCGUUGGCAAGUCACUGCAUCUUCUCAUUUCUAAAGAAUCAUUUUAAUGACAAUUCAAUGUAAUCACUGAGGCCUGACUUUGGACUUUAUGGUUAGGAACGGUCGUGACCCGGAUGGACGUCUUGAUAAGAAUCCAGUCUGAAACAUACAGCUUACUUAUUAAUGUUUUGUUUAAUGUUUAGCUGUUACCACAUGUACCACCCUGGGGCCUCGGAUUAAUUAAGUCCGUAGAACUAGCUGUAAAACGAGGGGUUGAGGUUUCAGACAGACGCACCAAUAUGUCCAUACACUAUGUCUAAACUCUCAGUGUUUACUUCUACCGACUGAACCUGAGGCCAGUCUGGAAUGACACGAUGAACUCACAUAAAUGGACCAUCGCGUUCUCUGGUUCACCCUGAGAAGAAACAACAAAGAACAAACAUUCAGCUGCGGUGCUAAGAGAAACACCAACUCUUCAGCAGUCAUCGUGGAUACAACCAUUCACACCAACAUUCACACCUCAGACCUCUGCUGGCGGAGCUUGGGCAGCGCAGCCACACUGGCAGCUCAUGUGAGAGGACAAGUGGAUUUUUCAUCACAUCAGAGCGUGAUGGUCCAGAGUUUUGGUUCUGCCACAUGCCACACACACCCUCACACACCCUCACACACAGAGAGAGCACUCCUGGUGGUGUAAAAUGGAUUGGACACUCCGUGCCGACAAACGCACGAUGGUG